UAUAUAUAUAUAUAUAUAUACACACCUGUUCUAUUGUGUUAUAGUUCGCUCAUUCUUUGUCCCAUGACACCCUCUUGAAUUCUGUUAUGUUCUAUUAAGUUUAUACGAUGUAGUUUUGUAUCAUCCUGCACUUGUAUCUACAGUAACUCCGUUCUGUGGGUGUUAAUCAAGCCUUAGGUCCAAGCUAGACUGUUUAGGAGCUGUUCCGGAUCGGCGAGGGGACAGACUGUCUGUUUCACAUGCGAACCUCGAGUUCAUCCUUCUUGACCAUCUGGUCAUUCUCCUCCGCUGACCUUGUUAUAGGGAAAGUGAGAGAUUAAAAUCUGUUCUUAUCACACUUACCUAUUUUUCUAUUUCAACAUUUAUAAACAUAUAUAUUUCUGAAGAGCAAAACUUUUACCAAAAAUAUAUAUUCUAGGAUUUCAGACUACUCACCAAAAUUAAAGUUCAUGCACAAAGCACCCAAUCACAGAACUGUAUACAGUAGAUCGACUCUAUGCGGCUCUGCCCAAUCACUGCAGAGACCCGUGCAGUUUGACGAUUUCAGGAGCACAUUUCAGGCGCUAGCUAUUCAUUCACUGCACAGACAGUGAUGUCGGUUGUAAGUGUAUGAUGUUUAGUAUCUGAAAAUAAAUAUAAAUUUAACAUCAGCAAGUUUCCCUUUUAUUUUCAUAUUCAUUCCAGUUUUGUUUCUUUUAUCAUCCUAUUAUCACCUAUUCAUUUAGAUAACAUUAGUGUAGCUAGACUAGCAAGCUAGUACCAGAGACUGACUAUUUGUACACGAAACCCUUCCUAUUUUUCUUUCCUCAAGAAGUGUUUGAUUACUCGUACAGUUAUCUGUUCAUUUCAGUUCCAACAAUAAGUCAUUUUUUUAUAGAUAGUUAGACAGAAAGAGAAACUCUUAACUGUACUGAAACAUAAAUUCUGCCUCCUGACUCUUCUGCAAUUUUAAACCUACAGUAUCCGCUGCCCUCGCACGGUGAUUUGUCCAAUCAGAGCCCGGGCCACCACACGACUACACCAAUUGUAGUUCUGGAGUUAUUUGCAUUUUAACCCAACGAACCAAUCGGAGCGCAAGUUGGCGAUUAAUUAAGGGCCAAGGUGCCUAAUAGUAGCGCUAAGAAGCAGCAUAUUAUUAACAUGUUAUUACAGGAGGCGUUUUAAAUAUUGAUCCGGUAUUCUGUCGUAGUUACAAACUCACAGCCUUAAAACACAGACCUGUUAAACUCCACUGUUUAACCAGUGCAAACAAAUAAACAUAUAUAGCACUUCCUUAGACUGUUCACUGUUUUAGGAAAUAAGGCGAACAUAAAAGAUGAUGAAUCUGAUUGAAUUGAUUUGAUGUUUAUUUCCUUCUAUCUAGCUCAAAAGCACUCAGGCCAAAAAUGGCAUAAUUCCUUCAUCUGAAGUCACACUUCUGAGUUAAAUCGAAUGCAGCAAUAGAACUACAGUGUUGCCUUCAAGGGAAAGUGGGCGGAGUCAAACAGCUCUGUUCCAUAUAGAGGCGCUGCCUAUUUCAGUACAACAUUUACUUUUACCCCAGAAGUGACAGCUUGGUGGCCCUGGGAUUUGAACUCACAACCUUCCCAUCAGUCAUCCAACACCUUAACCAAGAGCUACCAUGUCCCCACGUCCCCACGUACAAAAAAGUAAACAGAAGCCUAAACUUGAAGAAAAAAAAAUUAUGAAUAUUGUGUGUGUGUCUCUUCCUUCAGUCACCUGAGGGAGUGGAGGGGAAAGACGCCACUAAAGUCACAAUGCAGAAACCGACUGCUCCUAAACCUGAGACCAAACCCAAAAAAGCUGCAGCUAAGUGUAACUCAGACAACGAUGGAUUCUUCUGAUAUCGAGGAUAACCGCAUGAUGACUUGGCUGUCUUAGGUAAAAGGAACAGGAAGCUGUGUGAGGAUAAUGAGAACUCCGGAGGGAAUUGAGCCCAGACCAGGACACGAGAGUGGAACAUGGAUCUGGAAAAUGACCAGAUGUCUGACAGAGACGAGAGCAGCCCCUCGCUUUAGGUCUGACAAGUGCUUCUGUUGUGCUACUCCAUUACAACACAGAGAGGCAAGGACAUGGAGAGUAUCAAGGAACGCUGUACACCAGACAGGGCAGAAACUGAAGGGAGCAAAAGCACGAAGGUUUGAGGAGACAGAGGAGAGAGCAGGAGGAAGAUAGAGCAUGUGGAAUGAUGGUGAAACAGAAGAGAGAGAAGGACGGUGUCAGAAAGAGAUUGGAAAAAAGGGAAAAAUGGAAAAGAAGAGAAUGUGAUGGGGCAGAAAGCAGGUGUGUCACUCUUCUAAUUCACUUA